rnacentral:rRNA from 1 species
AGGUAGUAAUUUUAAACCUAUUUAAUACGGCGGCAUUUCAUCUUAUUAGAGGAAUCUGUUUUUUAAUCGAUAACCCACGUUAAUUUUCACUUUAAAUAAAAAUUUAUAUACCGUCAUCUAAAGAAUUAAAUUCCCUAAUUUAUUCUUAAAAAAAAUUAAAAAGAUAGAUCAAGGUGUAAUUCAUAUUAAAGAUAAAAUGGAUUACAUUAAAAAAAUUUAAGAAAUAAAUAUAUUAAUUUUUAAGAAAAAGGAUUUAAAAGUAAUAAUUUAAUAAUAUUUUAUUAUUAAUUAGAUAAUAAAUGUGU